rnacentral:pre_miRNA from 1 species
UGGACAAAUUAUUGUAUUCGACUGUAUUCACGACGUGAAAUAGGGGAUUACAUUGUUUUUAAACGGAAAGUGAAUCAAUUAACAUAAUAGACUCCU